rnacentral:sRNA from 1 species
GCCGGGUGAGGUGGUGCACACCUGUGAUCCCAGGGCUCUGGAGGCUGAGGUAGGAGGAUUGCAAGUUCAAAGCCAGCCUCUGCUAUGGAGGGGUGCUAAGCAACUCAGUGAGACCCUGUCUCUA